CCUACGGGAGGCAGCAGUAGGGAAUUUUCGGCAAUGGGGGGAACCCUGACCGAGCAACGCCGCGUGAACGAAGAAGUUAUUCGUAAUGUAAAGUUCUUUUAACAGGGAAGAAAGAGAAAUUUGACGGUACCUGAAGAAUAAGCUCCGGCUAACUACGUGCCAGCAGCCGCGGUAAUACGUAGGGAGCGAGCGUUAUCCGGAAUUAUUGGGCGAAAAGGGUGCGUAGAUGGCAUAGUAAGUCUUUUGUAAAAAUGCUGGGCUCAACCCAGUAGGGCAAAAGAUACUGCAAAGCUAGAGUAUGAGAGAGGAAAGUGGAACUAGAGGGGGAGGAGUAAAAUGCGUAAAUAUAGAGAGGAACACGAGUGGCGAAGGCGGGUUGCUGGGUAGUAACUGACAUUGAGGCACGAAGGCGAGGGGAGCAAAAGGGAGUAGAUACCCGAGUAGUC
rnacentral:rRNA from 1 species